GGCCUCGGUGGUGUAGUGGUAUCACGCUCCCCUGGUACGGGUGAAACGCGGAUUCAGCUCCCGUUGAGAUCU